rnacentral:lncRNA from 10 species
GUUUUCACCAACUGAAUUAGAAACAAACUUGCUGAUCAAAUGAAUCUCUUCUGAUUAGAACUACUUAUAUUAUACAGUGUGUCUAACAGGAUAGGAGCAGAAGUAACAGGCAGUGAAUUUGCAGUAUUAAGGCUGGAAGUGAAUACCCAAGGCAGCUUUGGAAGUCCCCAGAUGAAGACAGCAGGGCCAUCCUCUGGAUUGCUAGUUGACUGCAGGAAGCAUGAUCCAUCCCACCCCACCUGUAUUCCCCACUGUUGGAGGAACAUUUUACAUGACUGAAGCAUAAAAAAUGAAUGAAGUAUCUUUUUCUGCUAAGCCACUGGGGGCGAUUGGAUUUUAAUUUGCUAUAACGGUUAGCUUUACCUUAACUAAUAUAAUAUCCUACUCAAAAUCUGGAAAAAUGAGUGUCUUUGUCAAGAACAUCACUAUGCUCUGGGGGUUUCUGGGAACA